UCCGUAGGUGAACCUGCGGAAGGAUCAUUACAAGUGAGGCUACCGAACGUUGGAAACAGCGGUUAGGAGCUUACACCCACCCGUGUUUACAUACUCUUGUUGCUUUGGCGGGCCGUGGCCUCCACUGCGGGCUCUGCUCGUGUGUGCCCGCCAGAGAACCAAACUCUGAAUGUUAGUGAUGUCUGAGUACUAUCUAAUAGUUAAAACUUUCAACAACGGAUCUCUUGGUUCUGGCAUCGAUGAAGAACGCAGCGAAAUGCGAUAAGUAAUGUGAAUUGCAGAAUUCAGUGAAUCAUCGAAUCUUUGAACGCACAUUGCGCCCUGUGGUAUUCCGCAGGGCAUGCCUGUUCGAGCGUCAUUUAACCACUCGCGCCUGGCGUGGUAUUGGGGCACGCGGUCUCCGCGGCCCUCAAAAUUAGUGGCGGCGCCGGUGGGCUCUAAGCGUAGUACAUAACUCCCGCUAUAGAGUUCCCCCGGUGGCUCGCCAGAACCCCCAAUUUUUUACAGGUUGACCUCGGAUCAGGUAGGGAUACCCGCUGAACUUAAGCAUAUCAAUAAGCGGAGGA
rnacentral:rRNA from 1 species